rnacentral:rRNA from 1 species
CAGUAGCCGCGGUAAUACGAAGGGGGCUAGCGUUGCUCGGAAUUACUGGGCGUAAAGGGAGCGUAGGCGGACAUUUAAGUCAGGGGUGAAAUCCCAGAGCUCAACUCUGGAACUGCCUUUGAUACUGGGUGUCUUGAGUGUGAUAGAGGUAUGUGGAACUCCGAGUGUAGAGGUGAAAAUCGUAGAUAUUCGGAAGAACACCAGUGGCGAAGGCGACAUACUGGAUCAUUACUGACGCUGAGGCUCGAAAGCGUGGGGAGCAAACAGGAUUAGAUACCCCCGUAGUCCCUGUCUCUUAUAC